rnacentral:rRNA from 1 species
GACGAACGCUGGCGGCGUGCUUAACACAUGCAAGUCGAACGGAAAGGCCCUGCUUUUGUGGGGUGCUCGAGUGGCGAACGGGUGAGUAACACGUGAGUAACCUGCCCUUGACUUUGGGAUAACUUCAGGAAACUGGGGCUAAUACCGGAUAGGAGCUCCUGCUGCAUGGUGGGGGUUGGAAAGUUUCGGCGGUUGGGGAUGGACUCGCGGCUUAUCAGCUUGUUGGUGGGGUAGUGGCUUACCAAGGCUUUGACGGGUAGCCGGCCUGAGAGGGUGACCGGCCACAUUGGGACUGAGAUACGGCCCAGACUCCUACGGGAGGCAGCAGUGGGGAAUAUUGCACAAUGGGCGGAAGCCUGAUGCAGCAACGCCGCGUGCGGGAUGACGGCCUUCGGGUUGUAAACCGCUUUCGCCUGUGACGAAGCGUGAGUGACGGUAAUGGGUAAAGAAGCACCGGCUAACUACGUGCCAGCAGCCGCGGUGAUACGUAGGGUGCGAGCGUUGUCCGGAUUUAUUGGGCGUAAAGGGCUCGUAGGUGGUUGAUCGCGUCGGAAGUGUAAUCUUGGGGCUUAACCCUGAGCGUGCUUUCGAUACGGGUUGACUUGAGGAAGGUAGGGGAGAAUGGAAUUCCUGGUGGAGCGGUGGAAUGCGCAGAUAUCAGGAGGAACACCAGUGGCGAAGGCGGUUCUCUGGGCCUUUCCUGACGCUGAGGAGCGAAAGCGUGGGGAGCGAACAGGCUUAGAUACCCUGGUAGUCCACGCUGUAAACGGUGGGUACUAGGUGUGGGGUCCAUUCCACGGGUUCCGUGCCGUAGCUAACGCUUUAAGUACCCCGCCUGGGGAGUACGGCCGCAAGGCUAAAACUCAAAGGAAUUGGCGGGGCCCCGCACAAGCGGCGGAGCAUGCGGAUUAAUUCGAUGCAACGCGUAGAACCUUACCUGGGUUUGACAUGGAUCGGGAGCGCUCAGAGAUGGGUGUGCCUCUUUCGGGGUCGGUUCACAGGUGGUGCAUGGCUGUCGUCAGCUCGUGUCGUGAGAUGUUGGGUUAAGUCCCGCAACGAGCGCAACCCUUGUUCACUGUUGCCAGCACGUUAUGGUGGGGACUCAGUGGAGACCGCCGGGGUCAACUCGGAGGAAGGUGGGGAUGACGUCAAGUCAUCAUGCCCCUUAUGUCCAGGGCUUCACGCAUGCUACAAUGGCUGGUACAGAGAGUGGCGAGCCUGUGAGGGUGAGCGAAUCUCGGAAAGCCGGUCUCAGUUCGGAUUGGGGUCUGCAACUCGACCUCAUGAAGUCGGAGUCGCUAGUAAUCGCAGAUCAGCAACGCUGCGGUGAAUACGUUCCCGGG